GGUUGUGGCUCAGUGGUAAAGUGCUUGCCUAGCACAUGCAGGGACUUGGGUUUGAUCCUCAGCACCA
rnacentral:tRNA from 1 species